rnacentral:tRNA from 1 species
GAGGGUGUAGCUCAGGGGUAGAGCACAUGCUUAGCAUGCAAGAGGCCCUGGGUUCAACCCCCAGUGUCUCCA